GAAUUCCUGGUGUAGCGGUGAAAUGCGUAGAUAUCAGGAGGAACACCGGUGGUGUAGACGGCUUUCUGGACCGUAACUGACGCUGAGACACGAAAGCGUGGGUAGCAAACAGGAUUAGAUACCCUGGUAGUCCACGCCCUAAACGAUGCAUAUUUGGUGUGGGCAGUUCAUUCUGUCCGUGCCGGAGCUAACGCGUUAAAUAUGCCGCCUGGGGAGUACAGUCGCAAGGCUGAAACUCAAAGGAAUUGACGGGGGCCCGCACAAGCGGUGGAGCAUGUGGUUCAAUUCGACGCAACGCGAAGAACCUUACCUGGGCUCGAACGGCUUCUCAACGGCGUUAGAAAUAGCGCUACCCCGCAAGGGGGUGGAGUCGAGGUGCUGCAUGGCUGUCGUCAGCUCGUGUCGUGAGAUGUUGGGUUAAGUCCCGCAACGAGCGCAACCCUUGUCCUGUGUUGCCAUGCCGCAAGGCGGCACUCGCAGGAGACCGCCAGCGAUAAGCUGGAGGAAGGUGGGGAUGACGUCAAGUCCUCAUGGCCUUUAUGUCCAGGGCUACACACGUGCUACAAUGGACGGUACAAAGCGUCGCUAACCUGCGAAGGGGAGCCAAUCGCAAAAAACCGUUCUCAGUUCGGAUUGCAGGCUGCAACCCGCCUGCAUGAAGCUGGAAUCGCUAGUAAUGGCAGAUCAGCAUGCUGCCGUGAAUACGUUCCCGGGCCUUGUACACACCGCCCGUCACAUCACGAAAGUGGAUUGUACUAGAAGUCUGCAGGCUGACCCGCAAGGGGGGCAGCGGCCCAAGG
rnacentral:rRNA from 1 species